GCCCAUCACUGGGAUGGCUCAGCCGGUAAAGAAUAAGACACUUAAUCUCAGGGCCGUGGGUUUGAACCCCAGGUUGGGCA